AAAAUUUCAUACCUGGGUUGAAGGAAGCAUGUGGAUACAAGUCUGAAUGUAAAAUUGUGUGUCAAAGGCAGCAGGUAUAUAUGCUGCUGGGCUGAUGUGCUUGCACUGAAGUAGAAAGUCCACCUACUAAUCCAGUGAGAAGAGAGCUAGUUCUUUGUGCAUAGUUUCAGCUGGAUUAUGAUCAGUGCUCUGUUUUGCAUUCCUGGCACAUGAUGGCUCUGAUUGAAAAUGCUGUUGUAUCCCUUACUGGAACUGGCUGCUCUGCACUGGAGCAGCAUCUGCUCUGCAGACCUUUCUCUAAAAAGCAUCAACAUGUUUUUCUCCAGUGAGGACUGAAAGAGUGGAUGUAGAAACAAGUGGACUGAGCAGCGCAUGGCUUUCUGUCUGUUCGUAUGCACAAGGCACAUAUAUCUAUAAACACGUGCAUAGAAUAAGUGCUCAGAGUAGCAAAUCAUUCAUUGAAGUGUGCUGGAUGUUGUAAAUCCUACUGGUUUGAAAAAUAAAAUAGCUAAGAAAGCCAACUAGCCACAGAGGUAAAAGGCCCUUCAAUUUAAUUUAAUUAACUGUAUACU